UUGAAUUUUAAUGAAGAGUUUGGUUGUUGCUGGCCCAUUCAUUUGGGCAUGUGCACACCUUCCUCUUUCAUCCCACACACACCUGUGAACCUGUGAGACAGAGAUGGGGAAUUUACUUGCUGCUUUUUGGAAUACAAAGGCAAUAGGUUAUUGGACCCCCCCUCUGUCUACUCAAUUAAUAUAAACUCAAUUUAUUUUAAAACGAAUGUAAUGGAUGUAACACAUCUCAUAC
rnacentral:misc_RNA from 1 species